rnacentral:misc_RNA from 1 species
GUGUGACCGAAUAGAACCUCGAAUAUCUUGUGAGCUUGUUAGGGGUUAUUUGGAUUUUUCACCGCAUGCGUGGAAUGUGAUCGUGGUAAAGAGGGGUGAAUCAUGGGUUCGAAUGAUAGUUGAUGCGUGUCAUCCCCUUGAUAUCAGAGAAGAGACAGAUCCAGAAUACUUUUGCAGGUAUAUUCCACUGAAUCGGAUAAAUGUUCCUGUUGUGCCAGAUGCUAGUCCUGGUCAAGUUAGUUCUUUUCCUUCUCUAACCGGUGCUGAUAAAAUUCAUAAAGCUCCCUCCUCAACCCUCGUCCAGUGUAAAUUGGGAUCCCU